rnacentral:rRNA from 1 species
AGCAGCCGCCGCGGGAAUACGUAGGGUGCAAGCGUUAAUCGGAAUUACUGGGCGUAAAGCGUGCGCAGGCGGUUAUAUAAGACAGAUGUGAAAUCCCCGGGCUCAACCUGGGAACUGCAUUUGUGACUGUAUAGCUAGAGUACGGCAGAGGGGGAUGGAAUUCCGCGUGUAGCAGUGAAAUGCGUAGAUAUGCGGAGGAACACCGAUGGCGAAGGCAAUCCCCUGGGCCUGUACUGACGCUCAUGCACGAAAGCGUGGGGAGCAAACAGGAUUAGAUACCCGAGUAGUCCCUGUCUCUUAUAC